rnacentral:rRNA from 1 species
UACAGAGGUCCCAAGCGUUGUUCGGAUUCAUUGGGCGUAAAGGGCUCGUAGGCGGUUUGUCGCGUCGGGAGUGAAAACCUUGGGCUUAACCCAGGGCUUGCUUUCGAUACGGGCAGACUAGAGGUAUGCAGGGGAGAACGGAAUUCCUGGUGUAGCGGUGAAAUGACGCAGAUAUCAGGAGGAACACCGGUGGCGAAGGCGGCAUCCUGGACCAACACUGACACUGAGGAGCGAAAGCCAGGGGAGCAAACGGG